GCAAGACCGUGAGGUGGAGCAAAACUCAAAAACUUGUCUCAGUUCGGAUUGUAGGCUGAAACUCGCCUACAUGAAGCUGGAGUUGCUAGUAAUCGCGAAUCAGCAUGUCGCGGUGAAUACGUUCCCGGGCCUUGUACACACCGCCCGUCACACCAUGAGAGUUGGCAAUACCCAACGUACGUGAUCUAACCCGCAAGGGAGGAAGCGUCCUAAGGUAGGGUCAGCGAUUGGGGUGAAGUCGUAACAAGGUACC
rnacentral:rRNA from 1 species